CGCUAGCUACAGGCUUAACACAUGCAAGUCGAGGGGAAACGACAUCGAAAGCUUGCUUUUGAUGGGCGUCGACCGGCGCACGGGUGAGUAACGCGUAUCCAACCUGCCCAUCACUUGGGGAUAACCUUGCGAAAGUAAGACUAAUACCCAAUGACGUCUCUAGAAGACAUCUGAAGGAGAUUAAAGAUUUAUCGGUGAUGGAUGGGGAUGCGUCUGAUUAGCUUGUUGGCGGGGUAACGGCCCACCAAGGCGACGAUCAGUAGGGGUUCUGAGAGGAAGGUCCCCCACAUUGGAACUGAGACACGGUCCAAACUCCUACGGGAGGCAGCAGUGAGGAAUAUUGGUCAAUGGGCGAGAGCCUGAACCAGCCAAGUAGCGUGCAGGAUGACGGCCCUAUGGGUUGUAAACUGCUUUUAUAAGGGAAUAAAGUGAGUCUCGUGAGACUUUUUGCAUGUACCUUAUGAAUAAGGACCGGCUAAUUCCGUGCCAGCAGCCGCGGUAAUACGGAAGGUCCGGGCGUUAUCCGGAUUUAUUGGGUUUAAAGGGAGCGUAGGCCGGAGAUUAAGCGUGUUGUGAAAUGUAGACGCUCAACGUCUGCACUGCAGCGCGAACUGGUUUCCUUGAGUACGCACAAAGUGGGCGGAAUUCGUGGUGUAGCGGUGAGAUGCUUAGAUAUCACGAAGAACUCCGAUUGCGAAGGCAGCUCACUGGAGCGCAACUGACGCUGAAGCUCGAAAGUGCGGGUAUCGAACAGGAUUAGAUACCCUGGUAGUCCGCACGGUAAACGAUGGAUGCCCGCUGUUGGUCUGAAUAGGUCAGCGGCCAAGCGAAAGCAUUAAGCAUCCCACCUGGGGAGUACGCCGGCAACGGUGAAACUCA
rnacentral:rRNA from 1 species